UACAGAGGUCCCAAGCGUUGUUCGGAUUCAUUGGGCGUAAAGGGUGCGUAGGUGGCGCCGUAAGUCAGGUGUGAAAUCUCGGGGCUUAACUCCGAAACUGCAUUUGAUACUGCGGUGCUUGAGGACUGGAGAGGAGACUGGAAUUUACGGUGUAGCAGUGAAAUGCGUAGAGAUCGUAAGGAAGACCAGUGGGCGAAGGCGGGUCUCUGGACAGUUCCUGACACUGAGGCACGAAGGCCAGGGGAGCAAACGGG
rnacentral:rRNA from 1 species